rnacentral:rRNA from 1 species
UACGAGGGGGGCGAGCGUUGUUCGGAAUUACUGGGCGUAAAGCGCGUGUAGGCGGCAAUGCAAGUCGGGCGUGAAAUCCCACGGCUCAACCGUGGAAGUGCACUCGAAACUGCAUAGCUAGAGUCCUGGAGAGGAAGGUGGAAUGCUUGGUGUAGAGGUGAAAUUCGUAGAUAUCAAGCGGAACACCGGUGGCGAAGGCGGCCUUCUGGACAGUGACUGACGCUGAGAUGCGAAAGCGUGGGGAGCAAACAGG